UCUAUAUUUACAAUAUCUUUCAGCAGAUAACUUUUGAUUAAGAAUAUUUUUUAAAUUUAUUGCAAUUCAUCCAUUUAUCAUAACUGAUGUUAAAAAAAAAAUUGAUAACGUUUGCAAAAAUGGAUAGUCGACGUUACUGAUGGGAUGGAUGUUUUCAUCUUAAACCGCCUUGUAGCCCCCUAUUAACUUACAUACCCGUUAUUAUCUUAGUAUCACUAAUUGUUUUUGCAUUGCAUGGAAACCAUUUACUAUAUGAUAUGUCCAGCUUUAGUUCUAUUGUAUUGUAACAUGUAGCCAGAGAGGACAGAGAGGAAACAUACAACAUAUAUACCAUAGUAAUGACCGCUUACUAUUGAUAUAUUAGCUGUAUGUGAAUUAUUUUAUGUUAUGGUUUGAUCGUGUAAACAGUCUCCUGAGUCUUUUGUUUUGGUAGUGUUUUUAAGAUGAGAUCUGCAGUGGAUUACUGUCUCCUAAGGAGCCAUAGUACCACGAGUAAUCUUGUUUACGAGAUCAAGUUGUGAAAACACUGGGUCAGUUAGAUUAUAUCGAGAUGGAGAUGAUGGAGAUGAUGUGGAUAGGCAUAAUUAGCUAAAUCCCCCUAUAUAGGGUUCAAGCUAAUUUGUAAUUUUAGACGGUUUAUACACACGGUCAUUCCAAUCACAGGAUAUUUUAGAUCACAGUCUAUGAAGGAGGAUAAAUGGACGGAUGACAAGGAGUUGAGUUUAAGAAUAUACAUCGAGAGUAUGAUAUAACAGAUAACAGGAACUAUAUUUUUUAACAACAAGCACUACUCGAUGUGUAUUCUUCAACGCAGCAACGGCAGGAAUAGAAGGCGGUUUAAGAUGAAAACAUCUUCCUCACCACCAGUCCCAGACGACUAUCCGAUCCUGACCCGCAGGCCAGGAUACGAAAGACUGCUCUCUGAUUCUGUCUUAUAUAUGAACAAGACCGAAAGCAAGUGCUUUCGAGAGAAAUGACGAGGCAUUUGAAUCAUUUAACUUAAUUUCUUUAAAAUCAGUAAAGUUAAAUUUAAUAAUAAACUUUAAUUAUAAAAUUAAAACUAUGCCGUUUGUAAAAUUUGUUAUAAAAAUAUUAAAAAUCUUAAUAAAAUAUAACUUAAUUCUUGAAAUUAAUUUAAAUAAUCGUUAAAACAUAAAGGUAAUAGCCAUCUAGUGCCAAUAAUCGAACUAAAGCAUGUGUAGAAUCAGAGAGGAACCUAACCUAACCUAACCUAACCUGCUCGCGAUCUGUUCCGAGCUUUGGCGACACGUGUCCCAAGUGAGACAUAAAUUUUAAAAAAUCUGUUCCGAGCAUAUAUUUAAAAUUCCUAUAAAAAAAGAUAAUGCCAAUAUCAAAGUGCAGACGACAUCGAAGUCAUCGGACUUGAGAGCAAAUUAUCAUAGCCAUUCUGACGUGUUUAUUUGUUGCGCCUGUUCAGCGGUGAAAUCUGUUAUUUGACUCAUAAAAAUGUUAAAAAAGAGGAUUUUAUUGUUUGCGCAAAAAAGCACACAGGAUAAUUAGAUUAUUUUACAUACAUUUUUGAAGGAUCCGUAUAUAUAUAUGUCAAAAAUGGUUUGAAGCUUGCAGAUUGCAUGAUAAAGAUGUAUAUCGUUUUUAUGCUCAAAUCACUUUGAAUUAUCUGAGAAUUUACUUGCGUUGAAGAGAUAACCUUUUGAGGCUAUACUGCCACUGUUGAAAAAGCUGUACCAAAUCAUCCAGUUAAAUCAUCAAAUAUGACAACAAAUAUUACAAUUGUAUUAAAAUCAAAGCUAAUGUUACAUCUCCAACUGUAUUAUACAUAAUGGAUCAUAAUAUUGUUCAGUCAAUAUUGAAAGUUGUGAUUCCUGAUCAUUCAUUGCCAAUGAUAGAAAAUACUUAUGUGUCUAAAACAUCUGAAGUAAAUGUUAUAUCUCCAACAGUACCUGAUGUAAUAGACUGAUAAUGCUGAUAUGAUGGAAUGUGAUAACAUUAUUCAGCCAAUAUAAAAAAUUUCAAUUUUUGAUCAUUCAUAUUGCGAAGAGAACGUUUUUUCUCAGGAAAACGAUUGUUUGCACAGUCUCAAUAUAUUUCAGAAAUUAAUAUUAGUGAUGCUAGUUCACCAAAAAGUGCAGGAAGGGUAAUCAAUUUUAUUAAAGAAGAGGAUCAAAAGAAAUGCAGUUGAAUAAGAUGUUUGAACGAUUAUAACAAAAGACUUCUAAAACAAAUUGUUAUAUUGCAGGAAUUAAUAUCUCAUUUAAAAGAAACAAUUUCUGAAGAUGCAAAUAAUAUACUAAUCAAUAUGGUAAAAGCCUAAUAGAUAUCUUUUCUUAGACAUAUAAUAAAAAGUGUUAUCAAAAAUUUGAAGUAAUUGCUAGAAAUAUUUUUCCUGAUACAAAAAUAAAAAUAAUUUCGGAGCUCCUCUUUACAUUACACUCAUCUUCUGUCAUUAGAACUAGUAUUUUAUAUGUAAUUCUCCUUUUAUUAUAUGAAACUUUGUAUGUUUAUAUUUGUUGAUUUGGAGUAUUAAAUUAUUUUAAUAUAUUUAACUGUGGUUUGUUGCUGAAAAGCACCCAAUAAUUGUUACCAUUUAUGUCGAUUGAAUUGUAAGAAUACUCUAGAAAUAAAUGGAACAGAGUGUUUACCUAAAAA